UACGGGGGAUGCGAGCGUUGUCCGGAAUCAUUGGGCGUAAAGAGUUCGUAGGUGGUUUGUUAAGUUAGGUGUUAAAGGCGUAGGCUCAACUUACGUAUGGCACUUGAUACUGGCAGACUUGAAUGCGGUAGAGGUAAAGGGAAUUCCUGGUGUAGCGGUGAAAUGCGUAGAUAUCAGGAGGAACAUCGGUGGCGUAAGCGCUUUACUGGGCCGUAAUUGACACUGAGGAACGAAAGCCGGGGUAGCAAAU
rnacentral:rRNA from 1 species